rnacentral:rRNA from 1 species
GUGGGGAAUAUUGGACAAUGGGCGAAAGCCUGAUCCAGCCAUGCCGCGUGUGUGAAGAAGGUCUUCGGAUUGUAAAGCACUUUAAGUUGGGAGGAAGGGCAGUAAGUUAAUACCUUGCUGUUUUGACGUUACCGACAGAAUAAGCACCGGCUAACUUCGUGCCAGCAGCCGCGGUAAUACGAAGGGUGCAAGCGUUAAUCGGAAUUACUGGGCGUAAAGCGUGCGCAGGCGGUUAUAUAAGACAGAUGUGAAAUCCCCGGGCUCAACCUGGGAACUGCCUCCAAAACUACUGAGCUAGAGUACGGUAGAGGGUAGUGGAAUUUCCUGUGUAGCGGUGAAAUGCGUAGAUAUAGGAAGGAACACCAGUGGCGAAGGCGACUACCUGGACUGAUACUGACACUGAGGUGCGAAAGCGUGGGGAGCAAACAGGAUUAGAAACCCCUGUAGUCC